rnacentral:lncRNA from 1 species
CAACAUAAGCAGUGGGAAGCAGAAGAAGCUGUACAAGGGAUCCCAAGGUGAAGAUGGCACCCUCAUUAAAGUGCAGACUGAUCCCUCGGGUCUCUACAUUGCAACUAGCUGCUCUGACAAGAACCUCUCCAUCUUUGAUUUCUACUCCGGCGAGUGUGUGGCCACAAUGUAUGGGCACUCAGAGAUUGUAACUGGGAUGAAGUUCAGUAACGACUGCAAACACCUGAUCUCUGUCUCUGGUGAC